CCCUUUGUGAACCUUACCAUAUUGUUGCUUCGGCGGGACCGCCCCGGCGCCUUCGGGCCCGGAACCAGGCGCCCGCCGGAGGCCCCAAACUCUUAUGUCUUUAGUGGUUUUCUCCUCUGAGUGACACAUAAACAAAUAAAUAAAAACUUUCAACAACGGAUCUCUUGGUUCUGGCAUCGAUGAAGAACGCAGCGAAAUGCGAUAAGUAAUGUGAAUUGCAGAAUUCAGUGAAUCAUCGAAUCUUUGAACGCACAUUGCGCCCGCCAGUAUUCUGGCGGGCAUGCCUGUUCGAGCGUCAUUUCAACCCUCAGGCCCCCAGUGCCUGGUGUUGGGGAUCGGCCCAGCCUUCUCGCAAGGCCGCCGGCCCCGAAAUCUAGUGGCGGUCUCGCUGUAGUCCUCCUCUGCGUAGUAGCACAACCUCGCAGUUGGAACGCGGCGGUGGCCAUGCCGUUAAACACCCCACUUCUGAAAGUUGACCUCGGAUCAGGUAGGAAUACCCGCUGAACUUAAGCAUAUCAAUAAGCGGAGGAA
rnacentral:rRNA from 1 species